rnacentral:rRNA from 1 species
AGCGAACGCUGGCGGCAGGCCUAACACAUGCAAGUCGAACGGAUCCUUCGGGAUUAGUGGCGGACGGGUGAGUAACACGUGGGAACGUGCCCUUUGGUUCGGAACAACUCAGGGAAACUUGAGCUAAUACCGGAUGUGCCCUUCGGGGAAGGAUUAUCGCCAUUGGAGCGGCCCGCGUCUGAUUAGCUAGUUGGUGGGGUAAAGGCCGACCAAGGCGACGAUCAGUAGCUGGUCUGAGAGGAUGAUCAGCCACAUUGGGACUGAGACACGGCCCAAACUCCUACGGGAGGCAGCAGUGGGGAAUCUUGCGCAAUGGGCGAAAGACCUGACGCAGCCAUGCCGCGUGAAUGAUGA